UACGUAGGGACCAAGCGUUGUUCGGAUUUACUGGGCGUAAAGGGCGCGAGUAGGCGGCGUGUUAAGUCACUUGUGAAAUCUCUAAGCUUAACUUAGAACGGUCAAGUGAUACUGAUGUGCUAGAGUGCAGAAGGGGCAACCGGAAUUCUUGGUGUAGCGGUGAAAUGCGUAGAUAUCAAGAGGAACACCUGAGGUGAAGACGGGUUGCUGGGCUGACACUGACGCUGAGGCGCGAAAGCUAGGGUAGCAAACGGG
rnacentral:rRNA from 1 species